rnacentral:rRNA from 1 species
AUGAUGGAUGACAUGUUUCUAUAUCACACAUCUCAUUUAUUCGAGCAUUGGAUAUUUUGUGCUAACCAACACAAGCACGUGCGCAUCAUGAUGGAUGAUGUGUACAUCUACCACGCACACACAAUUUUCCAUUUAUCUUUGUUUUGUGUAGGUACUCACGUAUACUCGUCAACCUCUCAAUCCCAAGAGUUGACGAAACGAGAUCUUAAGAGUAAAGAUAACUUGGGAUCCCGUGAACUAUCCUUUCCACUGCUCUCUUCGCGCAACGACUACGCGCAUCUCUCUCACUUGGCUCUCACACGGCUAUGGGCUAUAUACCACUUGUCGCUUCAUGCUCAUUUUACCGUGUUCACUUUGCAUGCUAUGUUUGCUUCUAUGCCUUUGCCAUGCAAUUGUGACCCUUGCUUGCAUCUACCCAUGAUUCACCAUUAUGCUACUCCUAUGUAUAUUUGCAUGCUUGGUGGAGAUCCUUGUUGCUAUUGCCAUGUUUAUCAUGUGCCCCAUGCUAUUGAUGCUAUUUUGCUCAUAUCCUCCUUUCAUGCUUGUGCUAUAUCAUGUGAAUUAUUCAUGCACACUAUUUGCACCCAUGACAUGCUUGCCAUGAUUCCUUCUAGUAUGUUGCAUCUUCACACGACUAGCUUGAUUGACUUGAUCAUCAUGAUUGCUUGCUUUAUCGCAUCACCCAUGUUUAAUUUUUACCCGCUUUCUUGGGUUGAUGACAUAUAUGUUCAUGCCUCUCACAUGAUAUAUCUUGUUCAUUGUUGCUUACCUCUAAUUGUUGCAUCUCUUGGACACUCGGACAUAUUACUCGUGAUGCAUGCUUUUUUGAUUGAGCCUAUUGUAUUUGGUUAUUCUUGCAUCAUAUGCCUCCAUACUAUGAAAUGCUCCCUUGUCCUUUCUUAUGAUGAGCAUGAUGCAUACACUGUUGGGUAUUAUACCACACUAAUGAUAGGUUUUGCACUUCCGCUAACCUCAUUUGUUUUUCCGAGUGUUUGUCAUGUUCUUUCAUUUUGGAGGAUUCACAAGGCGGUGCUGUUAUGCAACAACUUGGUCAGGCGAAGGCAUACAUGA